rnacentral:rRNA from 1 species
GCGCAUGCGGCGUCUAUAAUGCAAGUCGAGCGGACAGAAGGGAGCUUGCUCCCGGAUGUUAGCGGCGGACGGGUGAGUAACACGUGGGUAACCUGCCUGUAAGACUGGGAUAACUCCGGGAAACCGGAGCUAAUACCGGAUAGUUCCUUGAACCGCAUGGUUCAAGGAUGAAAGACGGUUUCGGCUGUCACUUACAGAUGGACCCGCGGCGCAUUAGCUAGUUGGUGGGGUAAUGGCUCACCAAGGCGACGAUGCGUAGCCGACCUGAGAGGGUGAUCGGCCACACUGGGACUGAGACACGGCCCAGACUCCUACGGGAGGCAGCAGUAGGGAAUCUUCCGCAAUGGACGAAAGUCUGACGGAGCAACGCCGCGUGAGUGAUGAAGGUUUUCGGAUCGUAAAGCUCUGUUGUUAGGGAAGAACAAGUGCGAGAGUAACUGCUCGCACCUUGACGGUACCUAACCAGAAAGCCACGGCUAACUACGUGCCAGCAGCCGCGGUAAUACGUAGGUGGCAAGCGUUGUCCGGAAUUAUUGGGCGUAAAGGGCUCGCAGGCGGUUUCUUAAGUCUGAUGUGAAAGCCCCCGGCUCAACCGGGGAGGGUCAUUGGAAACUGGGAAACUUGAGUGCAGAAGAGGAGAGUGGAAUUCCACGUGUAGCGGUGAAAUGCGUAGAGAUGUGGAGGAACACCAGUGGCGAAGGCGACUCUCUGGUCUGUAACUGACGCUGAGGAGCGAAAGCGUGGGGAGCGAACAGGAUUAGAUACCCUGGUAGUCCACGCCGUAAACGAUGAGUGCUAAGUGUUAGGGGGUUUCCGCCCCUUAGUGCUGCAGCUAACGCAUUAAGCACUCCGCCUGGGGAGUACGGUCGCAAGACUGAAACUCAAAGGAAUUGACGGGGGCCCGCACAAGCGGUGGAGCAUGUGGUUUAAUUCGAAGCAACGCGAGCACCUUACCAGGUCUUGACAUCCUCUGACACCCUAGAGAUAGGGCUUUCCCUUCGGGACCGAGUGACAGUGUGCAUGCUGUCGUCAGCUCGUGUCUUAAAUGUGGGUAGUCCCGCACGAGCGCACCCUGAUCUAGUGCAGCAUUCAAUGGGCACCUAAGUGACUGCCGUGACAGCGGAGAAGUGAUGAGGUCAUCUUCAUUCCUAUGACUGCUACCUCGGCUGCAAUGUACGACGUGGCUGCAGACGCUAGCUAGCACAUUCCCAUACG